rnacentral:tmRNA from 1 species
UCUUGAUUUUUGCAGAUAAGGUCGCUAUAAUAAAGCCGUUGAGUAAUCAACUAUGAUGCUAAACGGUAAGCGGAAUAGGUGUUUUGGACUCGGGGGCGGUACCCGACACCUCCACCAGUCUAUGGGGGUGAAACAGCUUCGACAGGCACAAUAAAGACUUCACCUUGUAUCCGGCAUUGUACCGCCGUUAUCGGGCUGAUUUAUUAAAUGCGAAUGAUAAUUUCGCUCCAGUUGCUAUGGCUGUCUAAUUUGACGGUUAGCGACGAACUUAAAUCCCUUUGACGAUGAGAGCCAAAGGUGGGGUUGACACUUUCCCAGCAACAGAAAA